rnacentral:rRNA from 1 species
GUCUACAGUCAUACCACUCUGAAUGCACCCAAUCUCAUCUGAUCUUGGAAGCUAAACAGGGUCAGACCUGGUCAGUACUUGAAUGGAAGACAGAUCUUCAGAAGGGACUGCUCAGAGACAGUUUGGAGACA